CCACGGUUCGCUGGCGCCGCCGCUGCUGUGGAGGCUGUGUGUGAAGUUGAAGUGUCCGGGGCGCUGGGAAAGCCAGGAGAUAACCUCCUUUGAAAGAGGAUUUCAAAGAGUUGCUGGAUUAUCACUUGUUUAUUUGUGGACCCUUGAUUGAAGGUAUCUUAUAUGCUGGGCCCAGGGCUGUGAAGGUAACCUGCAGCUUUACCUGCAAGGAGCUCUCUGUAUCAUGUGUGAGAGAAGACACAUGGACCAACACAAUGAUGAAUGCUGUGUAUUCCAACAAGGGGGGGAUAUAAAACCUGGAAGAGAUGCCUGACCCCUCCUAGAGGGUUACAGAAGACCCCUGGAGGAACUGACAUCUAAGUGAAAACUACCUAAGAUGCCAGGAUUCUCCAAGGAACUAAAAUAAAUAAAAAAGAAAAUACAUUUCUGAUGUGCUCCAUCUGCUGUGAUUUCAACAGAUGCUCCAAGUGGAUGCUCUGAGAAUAGGACCCAGAAAGCCAGCACCAAACCUCCCUUCUCCAGAAAUUUAACUCUGCGCACCUCCAGUCCACUAGCAGUAUUUAUUUCUACCACUUUGAAGGAUCACGCCACACAUGUAAGUUUGCUUUUUCUUGAACCUUUAUAAUCUGAUUUGUUUCUAGAAAUCCUUUUCCUUGAAAUAAGGGGCCAUUUCUUCAUGUUUCUUCUUUUUGAUCUACCUGUGUACCUUGUUCUGCAUACUUUAGUACUGAAUAAAAAACCUCAGAUUAAUUUGGAAGAAAAAAAUUGGAUUCC